GAUGAACGCUAGCGGCAGGCUUAACACAUGCAAGUCGAGGGGUAGGUUACUUCGGUAAUUGAGACCGGCGCACGGGUGCGUAACGCGUAUACAAUCUACCUUUUACAGAGGGAUAGCCCAGAGAAAUUUGGAUUAAUACCUCAUAGUAUUUUUGAAUCGCAUGAUUUGAUUAUUAAAGUUCCAACGGUAAAGAUGAGUAUGCGUCCCAUUAGCUAGAUGGUAAGGUAACGGCUUACCAUGGCUACGAUGGGUAGGGGUCCUGAGAGGGAGAUCCCCCACACUGGUACUGAGACACGGACCAGACUCCUACGGGAGGCAGCAGUGAGGAAUAUUGGACAAUGGGCGCAAGCCUGAUCCAGCCAUGCCGCGUGCAGGAAGAAGGUCCUAUGGAUU
rnacentral:rRNA from 1 species